UGGCUCUCGCAUCGAUGAAGAACGCAGCGAAAUGCGAUAAGUAAUGUGAAUUGCAGAAUUCAGUGAAUCAUCGAAUCUUUGAACGCACCUUGCACCCUUUGGUAUUCCGAAGGGUACGUCCGUUUGAGUGUCAUUGUAAUCUCACUUCAACAACUUUUGUUGAAUGUGGACUUGGACGUUGUCGUGUGUAGCGACUCGUCUCAAAUGCUUUAGUGUACCCUGCUUUGCAGCGUCUCAGUGUGAUAAACAUCUUCACUGUUCAGUCCUUUUUGGACACGCUCGUGGUGUGGGCUCUAUGCUUUCCAACCGUCUUUGGACAAUCUCUGACAAUUUGACCUCAAAUCGGACGGGACUACCCGCUGA
rnacentral:misc_RNA from 1 species